rnacentral:rRNA from 1 species
GUGCCAGCAGCCGCGGUAAGACAGAGGGUGCAAACGUUGUUCGGAUUUACUGGGCGUAAAGCGCGUGUAGGCGGCCUUGCAAGUCGGAUGUGAAAGCCCACGGCUCAACCGUGGAAGUGCAUCCGAAACUGCAUAGCUUGAGUCUCGGAGAGGAAGGUGGAAUGCUUGGUGUAGAGGUGAAAUUCGUAGAUAUCAAGCAGAACACCUGCGGCGAAGGCGGCCUUCUGGACGAUGACUGACGCUGAGACGCGAAAGCGUGGGGAGCAAACAGGAUUAGAUACCCCCGUAGUCC